GAUGAACGCUGGCGGCGUGCCUAAUACAUGCAAGUCGAGCGAAUGGAUUAAGAGCUUGCUCUUAUGAAGUUAGCGGCGGACGGGUGAGUAACACGUGGGUAACCUGCCCAUAAGACUGGGAUAACUCCGGGAAACCGGGGAUAAUACCGGAUAACAUUUUGAACCGCAUGGUUCGAAAUUGAAAGGCGGCUUCGGCUGUCACUUAUGGAUGGACCAGCGUCGCAUUAGCUAGUUGGUGAGGUAACGGCUCACCAAGGCAACGAUGCGUAGCCGACCUGAGAGGGUGAUCGGCCACACUGGGACUGAGACACGGCCCAGACUCCUACGGGAGGCAGCAGUAGGGAAUCUUCCGCAAUGGACGAAAGUCUGACGGAGCAACGCCGCGUGAGUGAUGAAGGCUUUCGGGUCGUAAAACUCUGUUGUUAGGGAAGAACAAGUGCUAGUUGAAUAAGCUGGCACCUUGACGGUACCUAACCAGAAAGCCACGGCUAACUACGUGCCAGCAGCCGCCGUAA
rnacentral:rRNA from 1 species